rnacentral:rRNA from 1 species
GACGAACCGUCCAAACGUUUAUUCGGAAUUACUGGGCGUAAAGCGCGUGUAGGCGGCUAUGUAAGUCGGGCGUGAAAUCCCACGGCUCAACCGUGGAAGUGCACCCGAAACUGCGUAGCUAGAGUCCUGGAGAGGAAGGUGGAAUGCUUGGUGUAGAGGUGAAAUUCGUAGAUAUCAAGCGGAACACCGGUGGCGAAGGCGGCCUUCUGGACAGUGACUGACGCUGAGACGCGAAAGCGUGGGGAGCAAACAGG